UUACGACCAUAUCACGUUGUAACACAGGUUCCCAUACGAUCACCAAAUUUAAGCAACAUCGAGUCUGGCCAGUACUUAGAUGGGCUACCUACUGCUUAGGAAUACCAGGUUUUGUAAG